AUAUUCUCCGAAGCGGGAAGGAUGAGAAGCUUCGACCAAGGUUCGAUUCGAGCGAAGCGAGAAAGCGUUGCCGCAGGCAACGACCCGAAGGGCGAGGCGCAACGCGCCGAGUAAUCCUUCCCCCACCACCA
rnacentral:sRNA from 2 species